UUUGAAAAACGCUUUCCUUGAUAAAAUUUAAGCGUUUUAUAAGAGGAUGCCGGGGAAGGUUUUCCGGUUUAUCCCGGAGGGCUUGUAGCUCAGUUGGUUAGAGCGCGCGCUUGAUAAGCGUGAGGUCGGAGGUUCAA
rnacentral:misc_RNA from 1 species